rnacentral:rRNA from 1 species
UAGAGUUUGAUCCUGGCUCAGGAUGAACGCUAGCUACAGGCUUAACACAUGCAAGUCGAGGGGCAUCAUGGAGUUUGCUUGCAAACUCUGAUGGCGACCGGCGCACGGGUGAGUAACGCGUAUCCAACCUUCCCUAUAGUAGAGGAUAGCCCGGCGAAAGUCGGAUUAAUACUCUAUGUUUUCCGUUGCAGACAUCUAAGAUGGAACAAAGGCUUGCCGCUAUAGGAUGGGGAUGCGUCUGAUUAGGUAGUCGGCGGGGUAACGGCCCACCGAGCCAUCGAUCAGUAGGGGUUCUGAGAGGAAGGUCCCCCACAUUGGAACUGAGACACGGUCCAAACUCCUACGGGAGGCAGCAGUGAGGAAUAUUGGUCAAUGGGCGAGAGCCUGAACCAGCCAAGUAGCGUGCAGGACGACGGCCCUAUGGGUUGUAAACUGCUUUUAUGCGGGGAUAAAGUUCACUACGUGUAGUGUUUUGUAGGUACCGCAUGAAUAAGGACCGGCUAAUUCCGUGCCAGCAGCCGCGGUAAUACGGAAGGUCCGGGUGUUAUCCGGAUUUAUUGGGUUUAAAGGGAGCGCAGGCCGGAGGAUUAAGCGUGACGUGAAAUGUCCCGGCUCAACCGUGGAACUGCGUCGCGAACUGGUUUUCUUGAGUGAGUGCAACGUCGGCGGAAUUCGUGGUGUAGCGGUGAAAUGCUUAGAUAUCACGAAGAACCCCGAUUGCGAAGGCAGCCGACGAGUCCUUAACUGACGCUAAAGCUCGAAAGUGCGGGUAUCGAAAAGGAUUAGAUACCCUGGUAGUCCGCACGGUAAA